AGACCCGGCUGAAAUCUCCUUAACAACCCUCAAACCCCUUUCUUCUCUUUUCAUUUUUAAAAGAACCAAAUGAGCCCUAAACUUUUUCUCCCAAAAAAAUCAGAGAAAGCAUAAUCCCACACUCCAAAUCCAUGCGAACCCAGAUGUAUUUGCCAUUUUGGCUAAGUUGCAGAAGCUUUUUAUAUUUUUCAGUUGUUGCCUAUACACUUCGGGCAAAAAUGUCGAAUUGUUUCUUGUCAUCUUCUCAUAGAACGGUCAUAUGCUGACCCAUUUCUUUUCUUCAAUUUUUAUUUCAGUUUUUUCUUCAUUUUUUGUACAAAGAUUCGGAUUUCAAAGCAAAUAGAAACGAAUUUCAAGUUUCAAAUCGAAUUUGAACAUCUUAAACCCUAGAACUGGCCUUCUAUAAAUAGAGGACCAUUUCUUCAUUCUUGGGGAGAGGAUUUUGGACACCACAAAUGGUUUCUACACCAACAGUUGGCUUUUCACAUCCUAAGAGCUCGAACGCUCAGAAACUCAGCAAAGCCUUAAGUUUCGAGGAAGUUUCGAGCUUGUAGUUAAAUUUUUGAAUUUUUUCAAUUUGUCAGAAUAGUUUGGUCGACGUGGUGAAAGUGAUCGACUCAACGUUCAUCGUCCCCGUCGUUGCUUGACAAAAAGGUAGACAGGGAGGUGAUCUUGAUCUAGACUCGUAGGAGCUAGUAGCUGAUUUGAGAGCACUCCAUUGUUCCGGAGGUGCCAUUGAUUAUUCUUUUGUGUACAUAUGCAUAUUUUGGGCACGACGGGGUCCUGUCCCGUCCUUAUGUAUAGCACUCCAGCAGAGGCUCGUAGAUGCGCAAUGUGGGUUAUAUGGUCACACAAGGUCACUACUGUAUAUAUGUAUAUAUGUGUAUAUUAUCAUUUUGAUAGCCGGGAGGCUUAUGUGUAUAAAAGUAUUUAUGUUCUCAAAUGAAAAAAAAUGCUUUUUCUUA